AAAAUUAAUAGUGUCCCCACAAAUACUACUAAGGAAAAGCCCUUACUAUUUACUACUUCAAAGACAAUGUUUUGAAACCUGAUUAAUACUACUAGGAAUUUCUAAGUUUCCAAGUAAAUUAUCACAGUGUUUUUCAUCUCAGUAUUGACUAUGCUAUAUUUACAGGUACCCGGUGGUCAAGAGAUUAUGAUGUGUUUAUGGUUUUGAUCUUGAUAUUCUGCAAGUAUCCAGGUAUUCAGGUUCCUUUCAAGAGGUCAUAGUGAACUUAACAAUGGGUCGUUAAUGGGGG
rnacentral:lncRNA from 1 species